CCACCUCGAUGCAAGGCUCUCCGUUGUCAAAGAAGGGCUGGAAAUCCGGGAUGGAGGAAAACCUCUCCAGCAUCAGCCGUAAGAGUUACUGCUCUGAUUCCGCCUCUGUUCCUGAUGACAGCUUCACCUCCAAGCACAGAGAGAGCUUGGCCACAGCCUUCUCCAAAGUCUCCCUCCAGGAGGGGUCACAGGAGAGCAGAACAAGACCAGCCUUCAUCCUCCAGGAACAAAUCCUGUGGUACUUCCAGACUCCUCAGAUCUCUGUGGUUUGGACGCACACUCAAAUAUCAACAGCACUUUGCAUUACCAUCCAAUCUUCCCCCAAUAAACAGCUCUAUGAAACCUUU